AGAGUUUGAUCAUGGCUCAGAUUGAACGCUGGCGGCAGGCCUAACACAUGCAAGUCGAACGGUAGCACAGAGAGCUUGCUCUCGGGUGACGAGUGGCGGACGGGUGAGUAAUGUCUGGGAAACUGCCUGAUGGAGGGGGAUAACUACUGGAAACGGUGGCUAAUACCGCAUAACGUCGCAAGACCAAAGAGGGGGACCUUCGGGCCUCUUGCCAUCAGAUGUGCCCAGAUGGGAUUAGCUUGUUGGUGAGGUAACGGCUCACCAAGGCGACGAUCCCUAGCUGGUCUGAGAGGAUGACCAGCCACACUGGAACUGAGACACGGUCCAGACUCCUACGGGAGGCAGCAGUGGGGAAUAUUGCACAAUGGGCGCAAGCCUGAUGCAGCCAUGCCGCGUGUAUGAAGAAGGCCUUCGGGUUGUAAAGUACUUUCAGCGGGGAGGAAGGUGUUGUGGUUAAUAACCGCAGCAAUUGACGUUACCCGCAGAAGAAGCACCGGCUAACUCCGUGCCAGCAGCCGCGGUAAUACGGAGGGUGCAAGCGUUAAUCGGAAUUACUGGGCGUAAAGCGCACGCAGGCGGUCUGUCAAGUCGGAUGUGAAAUCCCCGGGCUCAACCUGGGAACUGCAUUCGAAACUGGCAGGCUUGAGUCUUGUAGAGGGGGGUAGAAUUCCAGGUGUAGCGGUGAAAUGCGUAGAGAUCUGGAGGAAUACCGGUGGCGAAGGCGGCCCCCUGGACAAAGACUGACGCUCAGGUGCGAAAGCGUGGGGAGCAAACAGGAUUAGAUACCCUGGUAGUCCACGCCGUAAACGAUGUCUACUUGGAGGUUGUGCCCUUGAGGCGUGGCUUCCGGAGCUAACGCGUUAAGUAGACCGCCUGGGGAGUACGGCCGCAAGGUUAAAACUCAAAUGAAUUGACGGGGGCCCGCACAAGCGGUGGAGCAUGUGGUUUAAUUCGAUGCAACGCGAAGAACCUUACCUGGUCUUGACAUCCACAGAACUUUCCAGAGAUGGAUUGGUGCCUUCGGGAACUGUGAGACAGGUGCUGCAUGGCUGUCGUCAGCUCGUGUUGUGAAAUGUUGGGUUAAGUCCCGCAACGAGCGCAACCCUUAUCCUUUGUUGCCAGCGGUCCGGCCGGGAACUCAAAGGAGACUGCCAGUGAUAAACUGGAGGAAGGUGGGGAUGACGUCAAGUCAUCAUGGCCCUUACGACCAGGGCUACACACGUGCUACAAUGGCGCAUACAAAGAGAAGCGACCUCGCGAGAGCAAGCGGACCUCAUAAAGUGCGUCGUAGUCCGGAUUGGAGUCUGCAACUCGACUCCAUGAAGUCGGAAUCGCUAGUAAUCGUGGAUCAGAAUGCCACGGUGAAUACGUUCCCGGGCCUUGUACACACCGCCCGUCACACCAUGGGAGUGGGUUGCAAAAGAAGUAGGUAGCUUAACCUUCGGGAGGGCGCUUACCACUUUGUGAUUCAUGACUGGGGUGAAGUCGUAACAAGGUAACCGUAGGGGAACCUGCGGUUGGAUCACCU
rnacentral:rRNA from 1 species